rnacentral:lncRNA from 1 species
UAAGCUCCCCUUGGGAGACACCUACAAAAUUCACAUCUCUUCUUCUACCUUUCUUCUUUUCUUUUAUUUUUGGUUUUAUUUCAGUCAUGAGAGGCUGAAAUCUUUUAUUCUAGUUGAAGAUUAGGUGAUACUUUGGUUGUUUUAUGGAUUGGGAGACUUGAUCAAACAUUGUUUAACUUUUGGUUGUUCAAUAUUUAUGCAAUUUCAUGCUUGAUU